UUCGCAAUUCACUCGUUUUACCUCGUUUGGUUCGAACCUUAGGUAGAACCUCAACUACUACAGGUAGAACCUCAACUACUACGAGGACUAGUAUCGUAUGAGUUGUUUUGGGACUAGUCUAAAUUGUUUCUCAGAGGUUAAACGUUGGCAACUACCAGUCGUUAUAUGACUUCUAAUGUCACAAAUCAUGUGCAGAAAAUAUAUUUUCUGGGAGUGUGAUAGAGGUAGAACCUCAACUACUACCAUGUAACUUUGGCUUUUGAUUUAGGAAAUCAAAUUGCGAGAAAUAACUUUUCUCAGGUAGAAGCACUACUACUUGCAGAAUUUGAUGCACUCGAUGGCUGUAAAUGGCUAGAC